GUCUAUGACCAUCCCACCCUGAAUGCAUCUGAUCUCAGAAGCUAAGCAGUGUGAGGCCUGGUUAGGACUUGGAUGGGAGAAAGUAAUCCCUCAUGCUUC
rnacentral:rRNA from 1 species